UUCGAAUAGGGAAUCAGGCAGCAAAAGGAGUGCGUAACAGGGAUCACAUUUGUUUGUGAUUAGCUUGAUUGAAGAGAAGUUACACAGUAUCGACGUCAACGACAAUGCUAUGCCAAAAGUUCUUCUACCGGGCAAUGUCGGCAAAUUGGUGAAAGGGUUGGCUUCAAACUGAAAUUGAGAGGGGUUGGACGUCGCAGUACCCAACAUCAGAAGGGCAGAGGCGGGAUACGACGCUUCUGGGCUGUCGUGAACCCUGGCUGGAGCCACCGGUGUACUUGGCAGAGAGUGCUUUUCAUCUCCGUAAAUGGACCGGCGGAUCAAUUUCUAUGAUAUUUCGUACGAGGCUUGCUCCAACCAAAUAUGACGCCAAUCGCGACAGUGUAGCAGAAAUUAUCGCGAAAUGGUGUGGUGGCUUAUAUCGUGGCAUAUAAAGGACCGUUUAUCACGACGAAAUUGUUACGUAGACGAGUAGCGAUUUGCAGCAGGGCGGAGAGGCAGAUGGCUAGACACAGAGACUAACUUUCCUCUGCACACUUGCGGCCGUGAAGAAGGGGGCUGCUGCUUUUGUCGCGCUGCACAGACGCGUGGAAAAGAAGAGAGUGGGAUUUGCGACAGUAUUGUCGUGGUUCGCGUUGUCCUGCGCCCUGUCGUCGUUGCCAUUCGGAUAACAAACGUCACGGUUUGAGGGGUCUCGCUUUUCCAGCCGGUGGACAGCCUCUUUAAAGAGUAAUUACGCCUACACUUGGUAUAUCCUGCGCCCCGUAAUAGAUAUUCUUCAUCGUUUUUUCAGGCACACACGUGUUUCUUCGGUAUUGCCUCGCCACCGCGGUAGCCACUUAAAGCCACAUACGCAUCGAAUGCACAAACUACGAUGGAACUGGCAUUCUUCAGACGAAACACAACGAACGACCCAGGAGUUCAUACGACUUCGAUGGCAUUUUCAUCCGGCGGUUCUCCACAUCUCAGCAAAUAGAAGUAUUAAUAACCACGAAGAACAAUCUGACUACGAUCGCCGGGAUUUGGAACGCGGACGUUCGUAACCUAAGGCGCUAACCACUGCGCUACCGUUGUCCGGUGUUAGUGUCGAGUGGUGAUAUUUGUGCUGUCGAGUGCCGCCACAAAUUGAACGCGAGGAAAAAACGAAAUGAGAGAAAGCAUAGAGUGGAAUAGGGAAGCUGAGGGAAGAGAAGCGAGGUCCUAAUUACCACCGAAACACGCGCGUACACGCACGUGUAUUCCGCGGGCUGGUCUGUGCGCCGGUACACCCACGAUCUCGAGCCGCGUGUGAAGCGAAAAAAAGGAAAUUACACGUACGAGCCGGCGGGGGUGGUGAGCAGAGCCUUGCUGCCCUGUGAUAUUCAUGUUUCCAGAUUAUUUAUGACUCGUGGAACGAGUGGCCGCACGCGUACAACGGCGCUACGAAACGCAACCCGUGCACCUAACACGUACAUUAUACGAGGAAAGAAAAGAGCAAGCCGCGGGGCUGCCAGUCGGUCGACUCGGGGGUGGAGUGGAAAAAAAUAGAAACAGCCCCGCACUUGGCGCAGCGUCUACUCGCGCGGGGCACAGGGGCGGUACUCGCGUUCUCGUGCUCUCACCGCUUAACGCCACCUCGCGCCUUGCCCGUCCGAUUAAACGAGGCCCCGCCGCCGCCUCCUCACGACUCUUUGUACGCUGUUCGACGACGUUCAUCAACGCCGUGCGUGUAAAUACGUACACGAGGUUGAUCGCGAUGGUGAGAGUAACAUAAUGCUUGGCAGAUAGAACAGCAGGUAUGAGGGGAGGUGUGGCAUCAGCACGCGUUACAGGCAUAAUUCAUCCGGGGCAACGGCGCAGCGCGCGCGACCGUUCUCGCGGAGGACAUACACGUGUACGAAUACACGUUUUAUGGUCCGAUUCCGAUAAGGACGAACGUUCACGAACCACGAUCCGCUCGCGCGUGCGACUACGAGCACGCUGCGUGCCCGUCAUUCUACGCUGCCGGUACUGUCCGACCAAUCGAUGUUUAAUGAACAUGACGAAUGCGUGCCUACCCGCUAACGAUCGUGCUCUUGAGGCAGGCCGGUUUUGCGCGACUAUCGAUCCCGACCGGUCUUUGGCGUAGCUCUCUGUUUCUUGGAAUCCGCACGGAUUCUCCUUGGCAUUCCGUUAUUGGGUCAAUGCGGCGACAGAUCUUCUUGAAGGACAGAGUCGCCGGCUUUUGUAGAAGACGACGUAGAAUGUAUCGUGUAUUCGAAGCGAAGGAUUUAGGAUAAAAAAUUUAAAGACCCGCGCUAUCGUUCAAUAGGAAGAGGAAUCGAGCUGAUUUUAUGAAUUUGAAGAAUUUGGACGAUUAUAACGAAAUAUACAGGAUGAGUCGCAAGACACGGGAUACUUAAAUGUCUAAUAUAUUUUUGAGUUUUUCUUGACAUUCGCUUCUCGAAUUCUAUAUAGUUAAGAAUACAAGUGUAUUUUGGAAAACACCUAAGAAUAAUCCCGAAUAAAAAUUCGUUCACUCGA